rnacentral:rRNA from 1 species
AGCUCCAAUAGCGUAUCUUAAUGUUGUUGCAGUUAAAAAGCUCGUAGUCGAAUUUCUGGCCGGGACACGUUGCUCCUAGCAAAUGUGGGCCUAGGUCAUCCGCCUGUGAUCAAUUCUCGUGUUUCAACGCUCGGUCUUAGGAGCAGGCACUUUACUUUGAAGAAAUCAGAGUGUUUCAGGCAGGCUUUCGCUUGAAUACACCAGCAUGGAAUAAUGGAAUAGGACUGGUUCAUUUUAUUGGUCACUUGAACUAGUAAUGAUUAAUAGGGACAGUUGGGGGCAUUCGUAUUUGACAGUCAGAGGUGAAAUUCUUCAAUUUGUCAAAGACGAACUAAUGCGAAGGCAUUUGCCAAGGAUGUUUUCA